rnacentral:rRNA from 1 species
CGCUCGACAUCAGAGUUUGAUCCUGGCUCAGGAUGAACGCUGGCGGCGUGCUUAACACAUGCAAGUCGAACGGAGUUUGUAAGCGGAAGUUUUCGGACGGAAGCAUAUAACUUAGUGGCGGACGGGUGAGUAACGCGUGGAUAACCUGCCUUACACAGGGGGAUAACAGCGGGAAACCGCUGCUAAUACCGCAUAAGACCACACUGGCGCAUGUCAGAGGGGUAAAAGCCCACCAAGGCGACGAUCAGUAGCCGGUCUGAGAGGAUGAACGGCCACAUUGGGACUGAGAUACGGCCCAG